ACAGGAACUAAUGUAAGAGCCUUAACUUUUACCAAGAAAGCUUACACACAGUGUGCUUCUGGGUUUAAGCUAGUCAACGCCCAGUUGGUCAAACUAGCAGUGUGCACUCCAGGUCCUGUACCUGUUCAUCAUGGGGAUACAGGCUCACUACAGACGCACCUGCACGCAACAGACUCAGAAUCUCAACACCAUCCCCUACAGCCAUCAAGAUCUCAACACCAUCCAGCAGAACCGCCAUGAACCCAACACCGACCUCCAGAACUGUCAUGAACGCAACGCCGACCCCCAGAACUGUCAUGAAAACACCGACCCCCAGAACCAUCAUGAACUCAACGCCGACCCCCAGAAUUGUCAUGAACUUAACGCAAAACUUUAAAACCAUUGGGAACUCAACACCGACCCUCAGAACCGUCAUGAACUGAACACUGUCCCCCUGAAUGGUCAUGAACUCAACGCUGUCCCCCUGAAUGGUCAUGAACUCAUCACCGUCCCCCUGAACUCUCAAGAUCUCAACACUGUCCCCCCUGGACAAUCAUGAACUCAACACUGUACACCCUGAACAGUUAGGAGCUCAACACCAUCCCCCUGAAUGGUCAUGAACUCAAUACUGUUCCCCUGAACAGGGAAAGAUGUGUAGCUUUGUAAUAUGUAGGAUAAAACAAUAAAAUGGAACCAAAUAGAAUUUGCUAACUGUCAAACAUGAAACCUGGCAUGUUUCACACUGACUGUAUGGGCAAGGAGAAGGUUUAUAUAAACUCGCAAGCACUUUGUUAACCAGUGGUUAUUUUGUGAGCUCAUAGAACUGACACUGGAUCCUUUUACCAACCACUUCUGCGUUACAGCCUAAACACAGCCUCUGCAGGCUGGGCUGACUGUCCUCCCAGUGGUAGCAUUGCCCUGUUACUGACCAUUACUUACUCACACAGCUGGUGCUGCUAGUAAUGGUUUUAGCUGGGGAAAUUCAGCCUGCCUUACAAACUGCUUGGCAGUGGAGUGUUGCACCGUAUUAGAUCACUGCUCUCUCCUGCUGCCAGAACUCUACAUCCUCUUACAAAAAUUGCAGAACUGAGACCUUAAGUUUCUAGCCGGAAAUAUUCAGUUUCCUAAAUGAGUCGUGUUUGAGGGUUAGCUGAUGAGGGGGCCUAAUAAAACAUGCCCGAGGGCAACGGACAUGGAGACAGACUUUGGUAGUUUUAGUUCCUUUUCAUUUUGUCUACAUCAGUUCAAGACGUUUUCUGUGUACGAGCCGACUCUCAAACAGGGGAACAGCCCGUGCUCAAAGUGCACACGGUGGUCUUGUGCUGAAAAACGAGCUCGUCCGCGCAUCUCACAGCUUUGCCUCAGCAGCGCUACGAAAUAGCAGAGAGGACCCUAUCAGAAAACCAGGGCGAUCUCCAGAGGUGUAGUCCAUAGAACAAUCCCAGGUCCGAAAGCCGAAGGUACUGUAGACAAGCCGGUGCACAAGCACAAAACCAGGAGCGGAGCUGUCAGCUGUGAGUCGAAACCAGAACGAGAACCAAAGUACCAAAACCAGGAGACGUAGUUGGAGAACAAACCAGGGUCAGGAAGCCAAAAACCAAGUAGUCAGUCGUGGUGAAAAUGGAAGCAGCUCUAGCCAGGAAGAACCCUCAUACUGAGCCCAGGGGAGAGUGUGAAGGACUGGGGUAAAUGGGCAAACUGGGAGCCGUGCUGGAAUGCGAGGUGGAAUGACGUGUCCUCUGGGGACAGGAUCAGUUCUGAAAGAGGAUUGGCGGACUGAUCCUGCAUUUAUCCUGCAUUUCCACAGGCCUCUUCAUUACUCAAUAGAGCCCUUUACUGAGCUGACCAUUUAUUCAUUAGAAGUGUUCCGUCUGUUUCUCUCUCCAGCUCAUGGAGAUUUCAGCUUAGCAAAUUUUCAAAGUAACUUCAAAUGAGGAGUUUGAGUAACUGACUGUGUAACAAGUGUCUAAACGAAGC
ensembl:lincRNA